AUUGAACGCUGGCGGCAGGCCUAACACAUGCAAGUCGAGCGAGCGGCGGAAGGGUGAGUAAUGUCUGGGAAACUGCCUGAGGGAGGGGGAUAACUACAGGAAACGGUAGCUAAUCCCGCAUACCAUCAGAUGUGCCCAGAUGGGAUUAGCUAGUAGGGGGGGUAACGGCUCACCUAGGCGACGAUCCCUAGCUGGGCUGAGAGGAUGACCAGCCACACUGGAACUGAGACACGGUCCAGACUCCUACGUGAGGCAGCAGCGGGGAAUAUUGCACAAUGGGCGCAAGCCUGAUGCAGCCAUGCCGCGUGUGUGAAGAAGGCCUUCGGGUUGUAAAGCACUUUCAGCGGGGAGGCGGUACCCGCAGAAGAAGCACCGGCUAACUCCGUGCCAGCAGCCGCGGUAAUUC
rnacentral:rRNA from 1 species